GACGAAUGCUGGCUGCGUGCUUAACACAUGCAAGUCGAACGGUGAAAGGGAGCUUGCUCCCUGGAUCAGUGGCGAACGGGUGAGUAACACGUGGGCAACCUGCCCCUCACUCUGGGAUAACUCCGGGAAACCGGGGCUAAUACCGGAUACGACCUGGUGCGACAUCGCACCGGGUGGAAAGAACUUCGGUGAGGGAUGGGCCCGCGGCCUAUCAGCUUGUUGGUGGGUAACGGCCCACCAAGGCGACGACGGGUAGCCGGCCUGAGAGGGCGACCGGCCACACUGGGACUGAGACACGGCCCAGACUCCUACGGGAGGCAGCAGUGGGGAAUAUUGCGCAAUGGGCGAAAGCCUGACGCAGCGACGCAGCGUGAGGGACGAAGGCCUUCGGGUUGUAAACCUCUUUCAGCGGGGACGAAGCGAAAGUGACGGUACCCGCAGAAGAAGCACCGGCUGACUACGUGCCAGCCGCCGCAGUAA
rnacentral:rRNA from 1 species